GUGGAGGGGACUGGUAGGGAAAUAGCGGCUUUGUUCCAAAGCAGAUCACUGUGCACCUGAACUAGAAAUGGGGGAAAAGUGGAGGGGACAGUAUUUGUUUUUAGCGACGUCGUAAAGACUCAGAUUGCCCAAUGUAUUGGAGGCCAAAGGGAGAGGAGAGAAAGCGCCUCUUUGGCCUAUCUCUCUUCUCAUUUGUCUCCUGCAUCUUCAUUAGACCCCCGCUCCACUGCAAGUCAGGCUGUGGGCUUCUUCUUCUUCCCAAAUAACAGGGUUCUGAGGAUGAGUCUGAACAGUCCAGUAAUGAACUCUUAGCUUUAAUGCCUGGACACCCCGCCGCUGUCCAUGCUGGCUUAGUAACCUUCUUUUCAGAGCCUCCUCAUGACCAAGAGCACAGGAAAGCUUUCAGGCCAUUUUGAGCUCCCCUAAUGGAGCUGCUAAUGCUUCAUUUGUGGCUUAGGAGUCCAAAGCAAACAGCUGAGCACAUCAGCCCACAGGUGGGGCUGUUCCGAAGCCCAUGCUUGUGGAGGUGGCACAGCUGUGAGAGUGUUGACCUUGGAGAUUUGGCCCCAGAAGGAAAAAAAACAGGACAAAGUUCACUUGGAAGAACAAAGGAUCAAGGAUAUCCAGGGAAAUAAUGAAAAAAAAUGCAAAGAAAGGAGGCCUUGCAGUCCCAGAUCUCAAACUAUACUAUAAAGCAGUGGUCAUCAAAACAAUUUGGUACUGGCUAAGAGACAGAAAGGAGGAUCAGUGGAAUAGACUUGGGGGAAGCUGAGUGCCAGGAGUCAUUUGAAAGGCAUUUCCCUUUAGUAAAGGAUUCUAGUUUACAAAGUUGACCACUUGAAAACCUGGAAAGACUUGUAUGAAGUGAUGCAAAGUGAAGUGAGCAGAACCAGGAGAACAUUGUACACAGCAACAGCAAUAAAGUGCGAUGGUUGACUGUGUAUGACUUGACU
rnacentral:lncRNA from 1 species